rnacentral:rRNA from 1 species
GAUGAACGCUGGCGGCGUGCCUAAUACAUGCAAGUCGAGCGAACAGACGAGGAGCUUGCUCCUCUGACGUUAGCGGCGGACGGGUGAGUAACACGUGGAUAACCUACCUAUAAGACUGGGAUAACUUCGGGAAACCGGAGCUAAUACCGGAUAAUAUAUUGAACCGCAUGGUUCAAUAGUGAAAGACGGUUUUGCUGUCACUUAUAGAUGGAUCCGCGCCGCAUUAGCUAGUUGGUAAGGUAACGGCUUACCAAGGCGACGAUGCGUAGCCGACCUGAGAGGGUGAUCGGCCACACUGGAACUGAGACACGGUCCAGACUCCUACGGGAGGCAGCAGUAGGGAAUCUUCCGCAAUGGGCGAAAGUCUGACGGAGCAACGCCGCGUGAGUGAUGAAGGUCUUCGGAUCGUAAAACUCUGUUAUUAGGGAAGAACAAAUGUGUAAGUAACUAUGCACGUCUUGACGGUACCUAAUCAGAAAGCCACGGCUAACUACGUG